GGUUAUAGCUCAGUGGUAGAGCGCUUGCCUCACACAUGCAAGGCCCUGGGUUCAAUCCUCAACACCA
rnacentral:tRNA from 1 species